AUGACAGCCCAGGCCAGAUUCCACCCGGCAGCAGCGGAAGCACGCCGAGCCUGCCGGCAGUGCAGUCCCGGCGGCCGCGGGCAGCUCACCCAGAAGGCCGCGCGGGGUCGGGGCGCGAAUCCUUACCCCGGCGCCCACGCCCAGCACGCGAGCCCCGGCGUUCGCUGGGGAGGAUUUUCCUUGCUGCUGCUUAACUUGGAGGAGUACUACUCCGAACAGCAUAGAGCCAAUCACAUUUUGCACAAGGGCAGUCACCAUGAAAGAAAAAUCAGAGGCUCCUUAAAAAUAUGUUCAAAAUCAGCGAUUUUUGAACCAGAUGCAAUAUCCCAGCCCAUCAUCAAGAUUCCUUUGAGAGACUGUAUAAAAACAGGAAAGCAUAGAGAAAAUGGAGCCAACAGACACUUCACAAAGGCGAAAUCUGGGAGUAUUUCACUCAUUUUCAGUCAGGUAUAUUUCAUUAAAGAACAUAAUGUUGUCACACCAUAUAAAAUAGAAAGGGGCAAAAUGGAGUAUGUUUUUGAAUUGGAUGUUUCCGAGAAAGUGGAAGAUGUUGUGGAGACGUUGCUUCAGCUUCACAGAGCAUCCUGGAUUGACAAAUUGGGUGACCAAACCGCCAUGAUAACAGCUAUUUUGCAGUCUCGUUUGGCUAGAACAUCAUUUGACAAAAACAGGUUCCAAAACAUUUCUGAAAAGCUGCACAUGGAAUGCAAAGCAGAAAUGGUGACGCCUCUGGUGACUAAUGCUGGACACGUGUGCAUCACGGACACAAACCUCUAUUUUCAGCCUCUCAAUGGCUACCCGAAACCUGUGGUCCAAAUAACACUCCAAGAUGUCCGCCGCAUCUACAAAAGGAGGCAUGCCCUCAUGCCUCUGGGCUUGGAAGUAUUUUGCACAGAAGGUGAUCUGUGUUCCGACAUCUACCUAAAGUUCUAUGAACCUCAAGAUAGAGAUGAUCUCUAUUUUUACAUUGCCACAUACCUAGAGCACCAUGUGGCGGGGCACACUGCUGAGAGCUACAUGCUGCAGUGGCAGCGUGGACUCCUUUCCAACUAUCAGUACCUCCUUCACCUCAACAACCUGGCCGACCGCAGCUGCAACGACCUCUCCCAGUACCCUGUGUUUCCAUGGAUAAUACAUGAUUAUUCCAGCUCAGAACUAGAUUUGUCAAAUCCAGGAAACUUCCGGGAUCUUAGUAAGCCAGUGGGGGCCCUAAAUAAGGAACGGCUGGAGAGGCUACUGACACGCUACCAGGAAAUGCCUGAACCAAAGUUCAUGCAUGAGAGUCACUACUCUUCCCCGGGUUAUGUACUUUUUUUAUCUUGUUAGGAUUGCACCAGAGUAUAUGCUGUGCCUACAGAAUGGAAGAUUUGAUAAUGCAGAUAGAAUGUUCAACAGUAUUGCAGAAACUUGGAAAAACAAUCUGGAUGGUGCACCGGAUUUUAAAGAGUUAAUUCCAGAAUUCUAUGGUGAUGAUGUAAGCUUUCUAGUCAAUAGCCUGAAGUUGGAUUUGGGAAAGAGACAAGGAGGACAGAUGGUUGACGAUGUGGAGCUUCCCCCUUGGGCCUCCAGUCCCGAGGACUUUCUCCAGAAGAGCAAAGAUGCAUUGGAAAGCAAUUAUGUGUCUGAAUACCUUCAGGAGUGGAUUGAUCUAAUAUUUGGCUACAAACAAAAACGGAGUGGUGCAGUUGGGGCCCAUAAUGUAUUUCAUCCCCUGACCUAUGAAGGAGGUGUAGACUUGAACAGCAUCCAGGAUCCUGAUGAGAAGGUAGCCAUGCUUACGCAAAUCUUGGAAUUUGGGCAAACACCAAAACAACUAUUUGUGACACCACACCCUCGAAGGAUCACCCCAAAAUUUAAAAGUUUGUCCCAGACCUCCAGUUAUAAUGCUUCUAUGGCAGAUUCCCCAGUCUCUCCAGGUGAAGAGUCUUUUGAAGACCUGACCGAAGAAAGCAAAACACUGGCCUGGAAUAACAUCACCAAACUGCAGUUACAUGAGCACUAUAAAAUCCACAAAGAAGCAGUUACUGGAAUCACAGUCUCUCGCAAUGGAUCUUCAGUCUUCACAACAUCCCAAGAUUCCACUUUGAAGAUGUUUUCUAAAGAAUCGAAAAUGCUACAAAGAAGCAUAUCAUUUUCAAAUAUGGCUUUAUCGUCUUGUUUACUUUUACCAGGAGAUGCCACUGUCAUAACUUCUUCAUGGGAUAAUAAUGUCUAUUUUUAUUCCAUAGCAUUUGGAAGACGCCAGGACACAUUAAUGGGACAUGAUGAUGCUGUUGGUAAGAUCUGUUGGCAUGACAACAGGCUAUAUUCUGCAUCGUGGGACUCUGCAGUGAAGGUGUGGUCUGGUGUUCCUGCGGAGAUGCCAGGCACCAAAAGACACCACUUUGACUUGCUAGCUGAGCUGGAACAUGAUGUCAGUGUAGAGACAAUCAGUUUAAAUCCUGCAAGCACACUGUUAGUUUCCGGCACCAAAGAAGGCACAGUGAAUAUUUGGGACCUCAAAACGGCCACCUUAAUGCACCAGAUUCCAUGCCAUUCAGGGAUUGUAUGUGACACUGCUUUUAGCCCAGAUAGCCGCCACGUCCUCAGCACAGGAGCAGAUGGCUGUCUUAAUGUCAUUGAUGUACAGAGAGGAAUGCUCAUCUCCUCCAUGACGUCAGAUGAGCCCCAGAGGUGCCUUGUCUGGGAUGGAAAUUCCAUUUUAUCUGGAAGGCAGUCUGGUGAACUGCUUGUUUGGAACCUCCUUGGAGCAAAAAUCAGUGAGAGAACACAGGGCCACACAUGUGCUGUGACAUGUAUAUGGAUGAAUGAACAGUGUAGCAGUAUCAUAUCACAGGAGGGGAAGACAGACAAAUUAUUUCUGGAAAUUGCAGUAUUAA